rnacentral:lncRNA from 1 species
ACUCCUGCCUCCCAGGUCUGACGGGGACUCCGGCUCGGAGCUGGGCCCCCGAGGCCGCCAGGGAGGGACCAGCCGUCUUGCUGACGCCUGGGCCACCGAGCACAGGGACAGGACGGGGUUGCUGGAGGUGCAAGCUGGGAGAAAGCAGAGAACUGACUCCAUGCAGAGUUGGGAUUAAGAGCCCCUGGACAAGGGGCCGAGGCAGUGAAGGACGUCCAUCACUCAUCUGCCACUAUCCUCCUCACAUUUAAUCCUCACAACACCCCUGUGAGGUAGGUAUCAUUGCCCCCCUUACAGAUGAGGAAACUGAGGCUCACACAUGCCCAGGGGCACACAGUCGACAGGACGGGUCUACAGUUCCAACGCUUGGGUUCUCACCCCGACCACACCCCACCCAGGGUGGCCAGAAUUCCCUUAUAGUAGCAAAAAGACAGCUGCCGCGGACAUGAACACACAUAGCACCAGCACACAUAAAAGCAGCAGCUCAGUGAGCAUCUCCCAUCCCUGGGUUUCCGGUUCAAGAGCAUUUGGGGGCCAGGCGCCGUGGCUCAUGCCUGUAAUCCCAGCACUUUGGGAGACCGAAGUGGGCGGAUCACUUGAGGUCAUGAGUUCGAGACUAGCCUGGCCAACAUGGUGAAAUCCCGUCUCUACCGAAAAUACAAAAAUUAGCUGGGCGUGGUUGGGUGCUUGUAAUCCCAGCUACCCAGGAGGCUGAGGCAGGAGUAUCCGGGAGGCGGAGGUUACAGUGAGUUGAGAGUUGAGAUCAUGCCACUGCACUCCAGCCGGGGAGACAAGAGCAAAACUGUCUCCAAAAAAAAAAAAAAAAAAGCAUCUGGGGGACACUUCUGGCCAAGUGGUUCUUUCUUACAUUUGCAGAGUAAACAGAAGUGGAUGGCAGCAGGGUGUGUUGUGGUCAGCCCGUUCCCAGGGAGAGGCCAUGGUCACAUGGCCCCAGGCAGGCUCCCCAGGCGUGGGCUGCUGGCUCCCAGGCUCCCUUUCCAUGCAGGAGCAGAGUCUCCGUGGCCAGCAGGAAAGCCCAGGGGUCUGCCUCCCUCCCACGGGCCCCCACAGCAGAGCUGCAGUUGGGAUCAGCCAGGACACGGCCCCCGACUGCUCUGCUCUUCUGCCUCUUGGUCACCUCAGAUGUUACAGAGGACUUGAAGUUUUUUCUGGCUAGCCUAUCUGGGAAAAUUCUUUUUGCAUAAAGUGUGUCAGGAUGGCAUUGAGGGGCUGGAGUAAGAUUUUUGUUUUGCAGGUGAACCUAAAUAAUGGUGGGAAUCUCUUGUUUUUUUAAUACCUUCUGUUUUAAGUUUUUCUUUUGUUUUCAUCUUGGAAGAAGGAAAUUUAGAAAUAAGACAGGAAAAGAAUGGCCCAGAAAUUCAGCACAAAGAGAGGUGUUCACAUUGACGCCAUCUGUGGGUCACAUACGAACGCCUCUGGGACAGAGCUCUAAAACGAGUCACGUGUCGUAGGGAGUGGGCCUGUGGCCAAGGCAGUCCUCGCAGUGUGCAGGGACGCAGGCCCCCUUACCAUGGAAGCCCCACCCAGAAGGAAGUGGGUGCCCCAUGCAGGCCGAGGUGGAUGAGGGGACAGUGGUGUGCUCACAGCUGUCAGCUCCCCACUGAAGCCCCAAACCAGCAGAUGUGGGCAGGGGCUCAAGUGGUGUCUGACUACCCAGGUCACACGUGCCUUAAGCGUGAAAGCUGUCAGCUCCCGGCACGGGGCUCUGGUGGGGCUGGGAACACCAGGACACACAUGGGCUGAAGCUUCCAGAGACAGUGAGACACGGAAGGGACAGAGAGGUGCCCUCCACACAGUGUGGCCAACUGCUUCCAGGCUAAACUUUCCAAAGAGAGGGAUCUGAGCUCUUCACCCUCAUUUCAACAUUCUGAUGGCUUGCACGGGACUCCCGCGGAGACAGAAACUUGGUGGCCGCAAGUCAUCCUCUCUGCUCUCUGCGCAAAGGCCUCCAUGGUCUAUGCAGCGUUCCUAUGCUAUGCUCCCACCCUUCGCCUCCAGCCCCCUCAGUACACAUCCACUGCGGCAAAUGUGCUGACACACUUACAGCCUCACAAGGCCCAGGUUCAUGUCCUCCUCCUCACUGUGUAUGCAUAGGUUUAUCCGCUUCACCUGUUGCUGGGGAACACUGCUCUCCGGGGGACUUGGGGGACGACACUGUAAACAUGACUUCCUGGCCUGAUGGUGGCAGGGCUGUGUGUGCGAGUCACUGUCCAGGGACAGCACUGAGGUAGGUUGGGGCAGGGCCCCCAAGCCACCGUCCACGGAGCUUGUGGGACUUGCGGUGCUGACGGAGGAGUACCCUGAGGUCGUGACGUCCUUCCCUGGCUCCCGGCUGGUGCGGACCAGGGGUUUGGGUCCAGGGGUUGCAGGGAUCUGGGUGUCCAGCGCCAGUGCCUGUGGGUCCUGGGGUCCCUUGUCCUCUGGACAAGCCUCCUCAUCACUGGAUUCCUGGCAGCAAUGCUGUUCUGGGUUCAGGUAGACCACGGUGACAUCGAGGAUGCCGCUGGGAGCUGUCACUGCAGGAAGGUUGGUGGGGAGGGAAGUCAUGUCACACCCAAGCAUCAGGGGAGACCCCCUGCCAGGUCAGGACCCUGAAGUCCAGGUCAAGAAUCUUCUACCUUGCUACGGUCCCCUGUGUUACCCUCCUGUGGUGAGAAGCGUGGGUGACAUGCCUCUUCCAAGUUGGACAGCUGCCCGCCAUGACUCCAACAAAUGUGGAGAUGACAAGUUGGCCAUCUAGCUCAAGCCAAGUGGACGCAGAAGCAAGCAACCGGGAAACUGACAGGACUCACACUAACUGGGCUUCUGGCAAGGACCCCGCAGUCUGCCUGGGGUUUGCACAGGGCAGUGAUCCCAGCAGGGCAGUGAGGAGUGUCACGUAUACCACGUGGGCACACCUCAAACAACAUUCUAG